AGAGCAGCCGGUUGAGAACAUUUCUGGCUUUGGGCUUCCAGCGUCUUUAGAUGGUGGACUAAGGGUGGCAGUUCCAUCGUGCUGGGCGCUCCUGGUUUGCAGCUCGAGGUCCCUGCUGGUGUCGGCAGGUGUCCCAGUGAAGUCUCUGAGAGGUCCAGGCAGAGGCAGGCAGAGCGUUAUGCCGACAGGACCCGUGGUGGUAACGUCUCUGAAGUUUACAGCAAGCCGUCUGCCGUCAUCAAGCUGUUGGACCUUUGGCAAAAGGGCAGUGUCAGUGCCAGUGAUUCCAAGUCAGGAAGGUGGGAGGGAAAUCGGAAACAUCAGUUUGGAGAGUUGUAGCCAGAUAGUGGAGGAAACCAGAAGAAUUCAGGACCCAGGAGCAGAAUCUGGCGAGGGGCUGCGGCUUUCUACCGAACGGUUACUCUUUCUACUCCCAGCCUGUUUUUACCAACGAUAAUCGCGGCCAGAAAAAGUAAAUCUAGUCUCACCGACCACGGCCUGACUAUUUACAUAAGCGCAGUGGGAACGAUGAUUUUAUGCGUAUUCUCAAGUACAACAUUCCGGUCAAAGCUUUGGACUCUCCGUGGAGAUGAAGCCUUUCUACCUGUGCUUGAUUGCAAACACUCUCAGGGAAGAAUCAAGAGCCAACAGUAACUAACUAUGAAAUACAAAAGUUGCAAAAAUGGCCACAGUGAAAAGAUCUGGUGAGAGCUCACUAUUAAACAAGGAUGCAUUGA